ensembl:lncRNA
GGUUUUCAGCGCCAUAAGCUCCAGAGAGUCUUUUACAGGUGAUGAUUCAUGCCACAACAACGAACCUGAUCAUCAGCCUGAGCGACUCACCUGCACAAAAUGAUGAGAACAAGAUAAACGCAGCCCGAGGUUCCUCUAAAUGAAAGGUGUGCUGAGACAACAGAGACGCUGGAUCCUCAGAAGAAAUCACGGUGCGUGAAAAUCAUCUUUCACUACCGCGUACCCGAAGACUUCAAUAACUGAGACGCAGUUUUGCGCAUAACUCGACUGAAUAGAUAUCCUAGUCUGUGAGAAAACGUAACAUUAUCCUUUGCCCAACAUCACCUGGAGGAGGUUCUGAAUAUGCCACGCAAAAUUUGAACUUACGUGAAAGACUUUAUAGAGUCGUCGCAGUUUACAAGAGUACCUGAGAUUCCACCUCCGAAACUACCAUGAGCGCACCUGUCCUGUCUUCUGAUUGGUCGGAAGACCUAGGGGUAGGUCACGUGAGGAGAAUUCAGGAUUUACACAAGCUCCAGUCUGGAUCCAGAACACCUGAGAAGAGAUGAUGCCAACCCCUCAGAGGACCUCAGAUGAUGCUAACCCAGAGACAACAUACAGAACUACCACAUUUUGCUAUAAGUUUGAUUGGAUAAUUGCUGUUAAUAGUGUUAAUCCUCUGUUUGUUUACGUCUUUUAUUGAUUUUUCCAAACAUUUCUGCUGUAUGCACAUAAACUGACGGUCACCACUGAUACUACUAAAUAUUGUAGAAACUUAAUUUUCUGUAAAGUUGCUUUGCAUUGAUUUGUAUUGUAAAAAGCGCUAUACAGAUAAACUUGAAUUGAAUUGAAUUGGUGGAGUACAUGCAGCCUGAGUGCUGAUGUUAUUAAAGUACAUUCUGAAAUGAAAAAUUAUCACUUAAACUUAGCAUUUGGCUCAAAAUUUAAAUGCUGAUCAUAUCACUUGUAAUGGAAAAAACACAAAACACAGCUGCUAUUGUUCAAAUGAAUAACAGUUGAGUUGAUGAGGCAAAAGCAUCAUCGGCAGCUGUUUAUUAACAUUUUUUAUUCUUACAGAACCUCAAAGAUGAUUAUAAUGUUGCUUUGUCAAAGUGCAGCCAAUCUAAAUGUGUACAAUACUACAAAACAACCACAUUUACUUUUGCACAGGCCAAAGAAACAACAACAUCUUGAAGCUUGUGCUCUUUUUGAUUUUUAUCAGCAUUAUUUAAAACCUCAGAUUUAUUAUAGUUAGUCUUGCGUGCGUAUGUGUGUUAUCUAGAAAGAGUAAAGAGAUGAAAGAAAUAAUUUGGUACAGCGCAAUGAUGUGGAACAUCAAACUCACAAGAGUUGCCUACAUUCCUCUCUCUCUCGCACAC